CUACCAAGACAGUGACGGUUGACGGGGAAUUAGGGUUCGAUACCGGAGAGGGAGCCUGAGAGACAGCUCCCACGUCCAUGGACGGCAGCAGGCGCGAAAAUUGCCCACUCUUUGCAGGAGGCAGUUAUGAGACGUGAGAAAGAAUAUCUGGUAAAAGGGAUAGGAGAAUUGGAGGGCAAGUUUGGUGCCAGCAGCCGCGGUAAUACCGACUCCAAGAGUGUGUGUGAGAGAUGCUGCAGUUAAAAAGUCCGUAGUCAUAGAAGCGCAAACAGAGGCGGAGCCUCUAGACGCAGCGGUGGAGGAGCCGAUGGGGAGCACAGUAUACCAGGGCGAGAGAUGAAAUGCCAAGACCCCUGGUGGACUAAGCGAGGCGAAAGCGAUGUUCUUGUAGAGAUUUGAUGAUCAAGGACGAAGGCUGGAGUGUCGAAAGUGAUUAGAUACCGCAGUAGUUCCAGCAGUAAAAGAUGCC
rnacentral:rRNA from 1 species